AACUCUGCUGUCAACUACUGAUAGUCGGGGAUGGCAAACUCAGCAAUCAUCAGGACUGUGGUCUAACCUCAACACGGCAUUUCUCCAGUGUGAACACAAGAAAGAGGAUACCUAUUAGAAGGGCUCCUGGUGGCUGAGCUGAAAAAGGAAAAAGAAAAAAAAAUAGAACCUAGCAGACAUUUCUGUACAGGGGCCUCUCCUACAGCUCACAGGAAUCUAGUGGAGCAGACCCCGAGUGGAUGUCUCUUGCAGGAAUCUAGUGGAGCAGACCCUGAGUGGACGUCUCUUGCAGGAAUCUAGUGGAGCAGAUCCCGAGUGGACGUUUCUUGCAGGAAUCUAGUGGAGCAGACCCCGAGUGGACUGGAGCAGGUGGAGCAGACCGGUCUAGUGGAAGAGGGGUUUGCCCCAGGGCCUCCUCACAGCUGUGCUGUUUCACAGGUGCUGCUUCAUAAUUGAGCUAUAAUGCUAUUGAGCUGUUCUACAACUGGACUGUAUCCUAACUGAACUGCUUGCACUGAA